rnacentral:rRNA from 1 species
UACGUAGGUGGCAAGCGUUGUCCGGAUUUACUGGGCGUAAAGAGCGCGCAGGCGGUCGUUCAAGUCGCGUGUGAAAGCCCCCGGCUCAACUGGGGAGGGUCACGCGAUACUGAUCGACUCGAAGGCAGGAGAGGGUAGUGGAAUUCCCGGUGUAGUGGUGAAAAUGCGUAGAUAUCGGGAGGAACACCAGUGGCGAAGGCGACUACCUGGCCUGU